AUGGCGGCGGGGGCCGCGCGGGGGGUCCCCGGGGCUGUGGAAGCGGCCGCCAUGGCGGCGGGGCUGCCGGGUACGCCCGGCCCCGGCUGCGGCUCGCCCCGCCCGGCGGCAGGGCCCGGAGUGAGGCGGAGGGAGGCCGGUGAGGCGAUGAGCGGCGGGGCCGGGGCCCUGCCGGCCGUGUGGGGCCGUGGUGUGGAAAGGGAAAUAGAGCCGCUUCUACAGAGCGUUUCUCUACCUGCUGCUGAACCAGCCUUCUUCACGAGCUGCUCAAAUCCAGCCUGUGCCGCGCUCCUCUAGGUAGAUACUGAUUCUUCCUGCUCAAGGCAAAGGGCAAGCUAAGCAUGUAGUGGUUUCUUACAACAAACCUACUAAAAUCUGGCUGCGGUUUCCUGUAAGGAGCAGGGUACUGACCAGCAUGCAGGAGUAGUUACACUGUGCCCUCAGUGGAAAAAAAUUGUGAAAAAAUACAGCAUGGACAAUAGUUUUUUUCUUUAAAAAUAUACCCACAUUUCUGAGUGAAAUGAAUGGUAAAUUACCCAGCUGAUUCGAAGUAGACCUUUCCUAUAGAAGAAGAUACAUGCAUGAGUCCCACUAAAUAACGAAAAUCACAGUACUGCUUCACUCUGUGGGUACAGUUUGCUGCCAGUGGGACUGGUGAUAACUUCCACGCACACAUUUGUUCACUUCCUCACUGCUGAGGUGACACCUGCUGAUAAGGGGGUGCUGCUGGCAGUGAGAGCAAACACUGAUCUGGGCUGUUUUUUUUUUUGUUUGUUUGUUUUUUUAAAUCAAAUGAUUUGCAAUCCCCACAGCAAUAUCAGUAUCUAAAAUGUUGCAACAGGUUCCUGCAUUCAACAGGAACAGCAGUCAGCAUGAGCUUUGAGAGAACUCUGAACUCUUGGAGCAGGUUAAAUAGCCAGGAAAUGUGAUAUUAUCAUUUACAGUCUCUGAAAUGCAUUUUAGACACUGAAUCAUAACUCCUAAGCAUCUUCUCUGUUCCUGUAGUACACCAUAACAUUAAAAUCCAUUCAUCUUGUUUUAAUAUGCGAUAAUUUGCUUGAUGUUUUAGAAGGGUUUCUGAGUAUCCCGGUCAAAGGUUGUUUAGCAAAUAACGUUUUCUUCCUUUUACCAUAUUCAGUGUUUGUGCGUGGAAGAUCCUCGCUAGCACCAAGAAAAAAAAAGACUGUGAUGUCAAACAGUUUCAGACAAUAUAAAGCUUCUUUUAAGCAAAGUUAAUAAUUUCCAUGUCAGGUUUUAGAAAAGCACAAUUUACUAUGUCAGAUUUUGGCCUUGUUUUUUUUAAAGAGCUCUGUAACUAAUUGGUAAAAUGACUGUAUUUUAAGCGACUGCAUUACUCACAAGGCAAUUUUAUUUAAUAGCGGGAUUACACAUUGAAAUAAAAAUCAUUGUUACUCUUCCA
rnacentral:lncRNA from 1 species